rnacentral:rRNA from 1 species
GUGGGGAAUUUUGGACAAUGGGCGCAAGCCUGAUCCAGCAAUGCCGCGUGCAGGAAGAAGGCCUUCGGGUUGUAAACUGCUUUUGUACGGAACGAAACGGUCCGGGUUAAUACCCUGGGCUAAUGACGGUACCGUAAGAAUAAGCACCGGCUAACUACGUGCCAGCAGCCGCGGUAAUACGUAGGGUGCAAGCGUUAAUCGGAAUUACUGGGCGUAAAGCGUGCGCAGGCGGUUUUGUAAGACAGGCGUGAAAUCCCCGGGCUCAACCUGGGAAUUGCGCUUGUGACUGCAAGGAUGGAGGGCGGCAGAGGGGGAUGGAAUUCCGCGUGUAGCAGUGAAAUGCGUAGAUAUGCGGAGGAACACCGAUGGCGAAGGCAAUCCCCUGGGCCUGCACUGACGCUCAUGCACGAAAGCGUGGGGAGCAAACAGGAUUAGAAACCCCGGUAGUCC